rnacentral:tRNA from 1 species
GGGUCGAGUUGGUAGAGCAGUUGACUUUUAAUCAAUUGGUCGCAGGUUCGAAUCCUGCACGACCCACCA